ACCAUUAACCUUGCACAUCUAGGAGACCAGGCAGGAUGUAGCACUGAAGAACAGCAACAUGAUCCCCACUCUCUGAAAAUGGUACAAGGCCACAAUGUCCUUGCUAAGUAUACAAAUACACAACCGAAUUUAUUUUUAAAAAAGAUGAGCUGUAAUGUUCAUAAAGAAAACUGAAAUCUGGCUCAU